GACAGAGGUGCCGAGCGUUAGGCGGAAUCACUGGGCUUAAAGCGUGUGUAGGCGGACCGUUAAGUACCUUGUGAAAUCCCCCCGGCUCAACCGGGGAACGGCUGGGUAUACUGGCGGUCUUGAGCCAUCCAGGGGCAGUCGGAACAGACGGUGGAGCGGUGAAAUGCGUAGAUAUCGUCUGGAACGCCGAAGGUGAAAACAGACUGCUGGGGAUGAGCUGACGCUGAGACACGAAAAGCCAGGGGAGCGGAACGGG
rnacentral:rRNA from 1 species